ensembl:lncRNA
CACAGCUUAAAUCACAUUACCUUGUAAAAGUCUUUGGUUGUGAGAUUUAUACCCAAGUCUAGCCAUGGUUUUCACCAAGGGUAAAAUCAGGAUCAAAAGUAAACAGGGAAGCUUUUAGUACACUUUUACAAGAGUUUUUAUCAGUUACAAGUUCUUUUAGAAAUAUUUCAGAAAUGUGUACGGGCAAGUUGAGAAACAUGGCACCAGCGUGUCUAAAAGUUUUAGCACUGCAUAUUUCAGUGGUGCCAUUUCAGCUGUUGGUGCUCUAUGUGUGGACAUGGCAGGAACAUAAAUACAGGUUAUUAUGAACACAUAGUACUGUCCUUCUCAUCUCCCACAUACCUGCAAGUUAGCAGUUUCUUGUCGUCAAACUAUGCUUAUAAUAUUUUCCUGUGUUUCAAAUUCUCUUUUUAUCACAUGUAAAUAUAUAAUUACAUUUUGUUUCUAUCGAAAUCAAAAUGACUUCUACACGGAUUAUAUCUAACAUGCUAGAUCAUGCUAGAUUUCCUAUUCACAUUGACUUUUGUAACUCAUGCGUAGUAGCUAAAAAGUUGACACUUUAAUUUGAACCGAAAGCCCUGCAUUCCCAAGGCCCUAGCAAUGGUGUUCUCCGUGUACUGAUCAUCUGAUGUUCAGGCAACACAGUCUGACAUAUUUCUAAAGCAGACAUCCCCCCUUAUUAUCCAUCUGCGUUUUCUUUAUGAAACAUACAAGAUAGCAUUGUCACAUAGCUUAAUAAGAAUACACAGUCUACUGGUUUGUUGUAAUUCCGGCGGCUUUGUUCUUGCUCACUCCUUUCUUCUUGGUCUCUCCUUCUCUUUCAUGAUUGUUUUGCUGGUCAUGAUGAUAUCUCUUUGAAAAUGAGAAGAAAAGGGAAGGAAUCAGUGUUCAAUCUUUAGCAUCUGUAGCCAGCUACUACCUUCUCUUUUAUGUGUGUUUUAUUUUUGUCUUCCUCCCUUCUCCUUAUUGUAGUCCCUCUCGUCCCAGUAUGCACACACACAAACACACAGAACUUAUCAACUAUCAACUUUAUCUCAUCUUUACAACCGCACAACAAAGACAGCAGUGCAGUGCAGUUCCAUCUCUGAGAAAUCAGCAACUGUGAGAUAAUUCUGUAACUAAUAAAGUGAAAGGGGCCCUUUGAUGGCCGGAGCUGAAAAGAUACUUAAUUUUUUGUGUGUGGGAUUUGAGAUGUGUGAUUCUAUGGAGCGAGCUGGCUCCCCUGCUGCUAGGCUCUGGCUAGAAGCUGGCCCCCCUCUGGCUAAUGUUAUGGAGAAUCGGUGGAAUUUUAUGGCUGUCUUUUCCCUCAGCCCCCUCUUUUCUUUUGUUCCCCUUUGAAGAAUGACUUUAGACAUUUUAUUUACAUAUUUAACCAUGGAUGAAAGAAACACAGGGUGAAAAACGAAAGCUCCUUCAGUUCUUGUGGGAAUUUGGAUAAGUUUAAAUGAACCAAAAUUCUAUUAGCUUUUAUAAAUUAAUUUAAGUUAGUUUUUUCUCAAAUUGGGAGAUGCACAGACAGUCCGCCAGAAUAAUAGGGAUACCAUUGAAAAGGACACCAAUCUUGUUCUGAUAUCAAAUUUCAACAACUGUCUGGUAUGACAGCAAUUCAACCAAACCUUGUAAAGCUAAAUAUCUGAUUUAAUUACUUGUGGUUAAGGUGUAGCCCAGUCUGUUACAACAUGUGAGGUAUGCCAUGGAAGAGAGAGGGGGACGUUUUAGACAUGUUUUGUAUUGUUGGCGAAGCUGAAAGGGCAUUUUGAUUAAACGUACGGGUGGGGUAAGGGUAUAAUCUUCUUAACCAAGGCCUCCUCUCUUCAUUCAUGGCCCACAAUAAGAAGAAACAACACUCUGUUGGAGGUUAGACUAUUUAUUUAGAUGCCCUGCUCAUUGUUCAGAGGUCUUGUUGUCCAUUGCAAUUCCAUGCAUUUAUUUAACAUUAUAGAGCUUAGUUCGUUCUCCUAAACAUUUUUAAGUAUGUAUAUGUAGUAAAUUAGUUAUUACAGGGGAUAUUUUUUCAAUGAGACUCGGGUUUGUCAUUUAAUGGCCCUAUUUUUUCCUGUCAGUCAUAAGUUAUUAUGAGCCUAUUUGAUAACAUGAUUAUUUAAAAAAGGUGAUCAAAUGCUGCUUCUUUCCAGCCCAAAGUGUGUUACAUUAAAGAGAUGAAUAAAUAAAUGAGAAUAGAAAUUAAUGAAGAGUAAUAUAGAUUGUAGAGAAAUGAAUGAGAAAGCCUUGCUACGUCUACUAAGAAUGAAUAUUCAAACUUCCAUAAAUGUAUGGAGAAAUCAUAAAAAAGUAAAUAAAAAAAUAAAAUCAAUCCCAUUUGAAAUGCAAGAGCUUAAAUAAGAGCAUCAGUUUUGGUAAAGGGUCAGAUGUUUUGAGGAAAUGCGCAUGAAUCUGGCAAUUAAUUAUUUAAGAGCCCUGCAAAACAUCAAAGCUCCAUGUAUUCUUUGCACAUAUGGUUUUAAUAGUUCAAUCAAAAUAACUUAUUAAUGAGAGCUAAUUUGUCCUACUCUCUAUCUAUGCUUCAAGAAAAUCUACUUUUGUAUAUGCUACACAGUCUCACACAUCAUGGAUUUUGUGCGUUCUGUGUGUUUUAGUGACAGCUGAUGGUGUGAAAAUGGUUAGACAACAAAAACAGUUAAGGUUAGGUAACACUCCCACAUUGUUAAGGUUAGGGCUAAGGUUUUACAACAAAAACAGUUAAGGUUAUGUAACACUCCCACAUCGUUAAGGUUAGGGGUAAGGUUUUACAACAAAAACAGUUAAGGUUAGGUAACACUCCCACAUCGUUAAGGUUAGGGCUAAGGUUUACAACAAAAACAGUUAAGGUUAGGUAACACUCCCACAUCGUUAAGGUUAGGGCUAAGGUUUUACAACAAAAACAGUUAGGGUUAGUUAACUCCCGAAUAGUUGUAGUUCAAGGUAAGUUUAGACAUAAUUUUUUUUCACUCUGGUGAUUCAAACUCACAAGCACUGACUUACAAACCACCUAAUGCAUUUUUGCACAAAUCAGGUCUACAUAAAACACUCAAAAGUGCACAAAUUCCAUGAAAUUCUUUUUACUCUGAUUUGUGUGAAUUAGACCCUGUUGGUAUAUCUGAGUCACAAGCAGACAUCCUUAUAAUAGUUAGUUGUGCAGUGAUGUUGUGGCUACUGCAAGUCUUAAAGCCAUUUUGGAAAACCAACACACUGGUGGUAUGUAUCUGCUGUGUUGGUGGAUAAUUAAAGGGAGUUAAUAAGGGCAACUCACUGCUGGUGUUUAUAGUGUGGAUUAGUUGAGAGAUGAUGACAGAUACUUUCAAACAAAUGGGGCAAGUCUCACUGGCCCUCUAACAGUUUUGCAAUAAACACAGUGGUAUAAUGAAUUAUGUCUGUUGUGCAUCAGAUCCAAUAACUCUUGGAACUUCUUAGAAAAGGGAAAUGUUAGUAUAGUAGUUUGUUCUUACAUCAUCCUCCUUUCAAGUGGUCGUCAUUUGACACGCAUAUGAGGAGAAGAAGGCGUCCCCUCUGAGUCUGUUCACUAGCUCCAGGCAGAGCACUGAAGCAAAACAGUUACAGUUAACUUCUUGCAAAACACAUUUUUGCUGGGAAAGUCAUUUUGGAUCCGAUGGGAAUCUGUGUUUGCUGGACUUGUUUUUGCAUUUUAAUAAAACGUUUCUCAGAACAUGGUGUGACUUACUGACAUUACAGUUUGGAUGCAGCGACGAAUGAAGGAGGAAAAAACUGUUAGAAAGAGAGUAAACAACUUAAGGCUUCCAUUGGUGAAGAGAAUUGAUGGAAGUAUUACCCAGGGUCCUCGUGGGGGCACUUGAGUGUGAAUCGCUAAUCAGGAAGGCCUUCUCUUUUCUAAUCCCUCUUUGAGUGGCCGGCCUGGAAUGAGUACAUCUGGGGAGACUCCCCACUGCUUCUGGCUCUGGAGGUUCUAUUCAGAGCCACAGCCCUCCUGUACCAUUCCCACAGUCCGCUUACACUGUGCAGCACAGCCACGCACACUCACGAGCACGUGCACACACACAACACACACACACACACACACACACACAGGCAUGUACAGACACACACACACACAUUUCCUGCUUCAACCAAAUUAGAUUAGACCCUUUCCUUUUCUCCCUAGCAAAGCACUGUCCUUUUCUCUGCCCAGAGACCUUCUCCUACCCUUUUGUCUCUGUUCCAAAAUAGAGAAACAAGUUCCCAAACAAACCCCCCCUAUGAAAGUUCUGGUAUAGAAACAGGCGAGCGAAAGGCAGCCAUCUUUGAAUGGCCUUAUUUGAUUUCAUAAUAUCAAUACCCCAUUUGUUCAACUACCCUAAUGAGGAUGUUUUGUGGCUUGGUUGGCAGAGCAGUGAGAACAAGGCCAGCUGCGCUGCAUGUCAACCUGUUAGUUCACAGGGAAGGGAGCCCCCUUCGUUCACUAUUUCUGAGUGUCUCUUCAUUCUAUUCCCUAAUAUUGUCUUACGUUUUCUUCUCUUUGCUCAUAAAUCAUUCAGUGAAUACAUUUCAACUCAUUCAUUAUAUCCUGUCCAUGUUAACUGCGCUGUUUGUGAUUGGUGGAUGUGUACCUUCAUACACCGCUGUCCUGUGAUGUGUUCUCUUCUUCAUUCAUCAGCUGGGGAAACUCACAAUAUCAAAAUCUAUGUUGGAGUUUCAGAGACCCUCUCAAUAAAGGAAAAGAUAUAUGAAGACUCUGUUCCUGUUGAGUGUGCAGCCAAAGCCAUCCCAAAAGCAGCAAAUUGAGAUCAAAGCUAAAUUAAAGCUGACUCGUUCAAAGACAGAUAAAAAUGUGUGAGCCUGCAGCCAUGUUUUCACUAUUGAUUUCCUUCUCUGCCUGCUCUCCCUGGAACAGGGUUGGCUCUGUGCAGGGCUGGGAGGCUGCCUGGUGCUGAGAGAGAGAGAGAGUAAAUGAUUAUUGAUAAAGUCUCAACAACGAUAAUGAUGAUGACUAGAUAGUUAUCAUGCUGAGAGUCAUUGAGAUGACUGUUCUAUUUUAUAUGUAUGCCAUUGCCAUAGUUUCCCUACAGCUUGCUGUGAUGGUGCAUCAGUGGCCAUGUUAUGUUUGAUAUGUGUGUAUGGUCAAUGCCAGCAUCCAGGUGUUCGUUGAUAUCCAGAAAAUUAUAAUUUGC